CCUACGGGAGGCUGCAGUGGGGAAUAUUGGGCAAUGGGCGCAAGCCUGACCCAGCAACGCCGCGUGAAGGAAGAAGGCUUUCGGGUUGUAAACUUCUUUUAAGAGGGAAGAGUAGAAGACGGUACCUCUUGAAUAAGCCACGGCUAACUACGUGCCAGCAGCCGCGGUAAUACGUAGGUGGCAAGCGUUGUCCGGAUUUACUGGGUGUAAAGGGCGUGUAGCCGGGCCGGCAAGUCAGAUGUGAAAUCCCAAGGCUCAACCUUGGAACUGCAUUUGAAACUGUUGGUCUUGAGUAUCGGAGAGGCAGGCGGAAUUCCUAGUGUAGCGGUGAAAUGCGUAGAUAUUGCGCAGAACUCCGAUUGCGAAGGCAGCAUACCGGCGGCGAUCUGACGCUGAGGCACGAAAGCGUGGGUAUCGAACAGGAUUAGAUACCCUAGUAGUC
rnacentral:rRNA from 1 species